GCAAGUCGAACGGUUGAGAGUGGGAGUUGAGAGGUUAGAAGUGGGAAAGAAAAAGUCUCACAUCCAACUUCUCACAUCUCACUUCUCAAUAGUGGCGGACGGGUGAGUAACGCGUGGGUAACCUGCCCUUAACACCGGGACAACAGCGGGAAACUGCUGCUAAUACCGGAUAAUCUCAAGAGAAAGGCAUCUUCUUUUGAGGAAAGGUGGCCUCUGAAUAUGCUACCGAUUAAGGAUGGACCCGCGUCUGAUUAGCUAGUUGGUAGGGUAGCGGCCUACCAAGGCGACGAUCAGUAGCCGGCCUGAGAGGGUGACCGGCCACACUGGGACUGAGACACGGCCCAGACUCCUACGGGAGGCAGCAGUGGGGAAUCUUCCGCAAUGGGCGAAAGCCUGACGGAGCAACGCCGCGUGAAUGAAGAAGGCCUUCGGGUCGUAAAGUUCUGUUGAAAGGGAAGAAGUCUCUUUAUGCGAAUAGUGUAAAGAGGUGACGGUACCUUUUGAGGAAGCUCCGGCUAACUACGUG
rnacentral:rRNA from 1 species